rnacentral:lncRNA from 1 species
UUCUCACUAUUCAUCAUUUGGGAUUGAGGCAACACCAGAAACACAACAUUUGAAUCAGCAUGAGCAGAACUCAGACUCUGAGCACAACAAUGGUUCAAGCAUUUCCAAUUCAGAAUCAGUAAAUAUCCAAUAUAUGACUCAGCCUUUAGGGUGCACUACAAAUCAAUUCCAGGCCUUAGACAACUAUGAUUUUGGCAUCUGUUCAUAUGAUAGCUACAACAUAGAUAACAGUGCCUAUGACAUGGAUUCAUUCAACCUGGCAGCCACAAUGGAUGCUCAGAAUCUGACACUCCCAGUUAUUGGUUGCCAAAUAUCAGAAACCAACUCGCUAAAUAUGGAAUCUGAAUGCAGCACAAGGAGCAAUGAUGAAUUAUGGCAAUUUAUGAACAUAUAAAUAAGAAUAUUUAGAUUUUAGAGCACUCUUUCAAAACUUUCUUUCAUAUGUAGUGUUUGCUAUUAGAUAGAUAAUCAAUAUAAAUGUAAAGACUAAUUGUUUUAUAAUUUAAAGUACACCAGGAUAUGUUUCUGUUUUGCAUAUUUAACUUCUCUGAAUUGAAUACUGUGAUGAGUGCAUUUUUCGAAUGAGUUGGAAAUUUGAAAGGGCGUAGAUAUUCACAAGACCAUAAUAUAAAAAUUGAAAAUUUGAGUGUAAAACCACAACACUGUCAAAGAUUUCAUAAAUUUCUUAAAUGUGCUUGAACAGUCAAGACUUGAAUUUGAAUCUAGGACUACAGCUGGAAGGGAAUGUAUACAAAUUUUAUGGACAUUUCAAAAUAACCAUUUUUUUCAAACCUUGAUCGGAAGAUUACUUUUUCAGUUCAAGUCAGAGUGCAGCCACCGCCAACUUUGAUGGAACAGAUGAUUCAUCGAGAAGAAAGCGAAAAUUUGCAAACGACUAUGAAACAUCUACUUUUGAAAUCUAUUCUCAUAAUUUUCUUCUCUGUACGGUCUUCGUA